AGCCGCAUAUCAUACAAAAAAUCCCAUAUAAAAAUCGGAAUCGCGGCUCCAUCUGGCCUCCCUGUUUACGAUAUAGGUCUUCCCCGCCAUAUCUGCCGUCUGCGAUUCUCUUGUGAUUCCUCAUUGAAUCAUCGAUUUGAUUACCUCGAUUAGGGGAAAUUAACGGAGAAAUUUCCAGAUUGAUCGCCUUCGCCGCUGCCGUUGGGAAUCGAUUGGAGCCCUCCUCGUCGGAAAUCGCUUUCGUUGGAAGUUUGGUGGAUUUUUGUUUUCUGUGUUCAUAAUGGAUGCGGCACUAUUUGGCCAUAGGAUGCUCACAUGGAGUGACGUUAGGGUAUAACAAGACAAUGCCAUCUUAGGCUUCCUUCCAAAAUCAUGGGAUUCUGAUCUUAUAGUGUGACAUUUGAAAUGAAUAGCUCUCCAGUGUUCUUCUGUGAUGAAAUGUUCUGUUUGAAAUGAUUUCAAUUCUUGCAAUGAUCCUCCUCUUGAAAGGUUCAUUUGCAUUAUUAUUGCAGGCAUUAAAUAGAUUUCUGGACUGUUAUCUGCUAGAA